rnacentral:rRNA from 1 species
GACGAGGGGUCCUAGCGUUGUUCGGAAUCACUGGGCGUAAAGCGUUUGUAGGCGGCUCUAUAAGUCGGGUGUGAAAUCCCAUGGCUCAACCAUGGAAGUGCAUUCGAAACUGCAGAGCUUGAAUAUGGAAGAGGAGAGUAGAAUUCCUGGUGUAGUGGUGAAAUACGUAGAUAUCAGGAGGAAUACCGGUGGCGAAGGCGGCUAUCUGGCCCGUAAUUGACGCUGAGGCGCGAAAGCGUGGGGAGCAAACAGG